AGAGUUUGAUCCUGGCUCAGAACGUACGCUGGCGGCGUGCUUAACACAUGCAAGUCGAACGCGAAAGUUUCUCUUCGGAGAGGCGAGUAGAGUGGCAGACGGGUGAGUAACACGUGGGUAACCUACCCCUAGGCGGGGGAUAACAACUCGAAAGGGUUGCUAACUAAUACCGCAUAAGACCACGGAUCUUCGGAUUAGUAGUUAAAGUCUUCGGACACCAAGGGAGGGGCCCGCGGUUGAUUAGCUUGUUGGUGGGGUAAUGGCCUACCAAGGCAACGAUCAAUAGCUGGUCUGAGAGGAUGAUCAGCCACACUGGUACUUAGACACGGACCAGACUCCUACGGGAGGCAGCAGUGGGGAAUAUUGCGCAAUGGACGAAAGUCUGACGCAGCAACGCCGCGUGGGUGAAGAAGGUUUUCGGAUCGUAAAACCCUGUCAGGUGGGAAGAAACGCCCCUUUUAAGGGGAACUGACGGUACCACCAAAGGAAGCACCGGCUAACUCCGUGCCAGCAGCCGCGGUAAUACGGAGGGUGCAAGCGUAGUUCGGAAUCACUGGGCGUAAAGGGCGCGUAGGCGGACCUGUGGGUCUGAUGUGAAAGCCCGGGGCUCAACCCCGGAAGUGCAUUGGAAACUACAGGUCUUGAGUUUGGGAGAGGAGAGCAGAAUUCCCGGUGUAGGGGUGGAAUCCGUAGAUAUCGGGAGGAAAACCAGUGGCGAAGGCGGCUCUCUGGAACAUAACUGACGCUAAGGCGCGAAAGCGUGGGGAGCAAACAGGAUUAGAGACCCUGGUAGUCCACGCCGUAAACGAUGGAUACUAGGUGUAGGGUUCAUUAAUGAACUCUGUGCCGAAGCUAACGCGAUAAGUAUCCCGCCUGGGGAGUACGGUCGCAAGACUAAAACUCAAAGGAAUUGACGGGGGCCUGCACAAGCGGUGGAGUAUGUGGUUUAAUUCGACACAACGCGCAGAACCUUACCUGGGUUUGACAUCCCUUGAUCACCAUAGAGAUAUGGUUUCCUCUUCGGAGGCAAGGUGACAGGUGCUGCAUGGCUGUCGUCAGCUCGUGUCGUGAGAUGUUGGGUUAAGUCCCGCAACGAGCGCAACCCCUGUCCUAUGUUGCCAUCACGUAAUGGUGGGCACUCUUAGGAGACUGCCGGUGUCAAACCGGAGGAAGGUGGGGAUGACGUCAAGUCCUCAUGGCCCUUAUGCCCAGGGCUACACACGUACUACAAUGGCCGGUACAAAGAGGCGCUAACCCGCGAGGGCACGCAAAUCUCAAAAAGCCGGUCUCAGUUCGGAUUGGAGUCUGCAACUCGACUCCAUGAAGGCGGAAUCGCUAGUAAUCGCGGAUCAGCAUGCCGCGGUGAAUCCGUUCCCGGGCCUUGUACACACCGCCCGUCACACCAUGAGAGUCGCUUGUACCAGAAGUGCGUAGGCCAACCCUUUGGGGAGGCAGCGUACCAAGGUAUGAGUGGUGAUUGGGGUGAAGUCGUACAGGUUAACC
rnacentral:rRNA from 1 species